GGGCGGCCUCACCUGAGCGCCCCGGCCCCGGGGAGGAGCGGAGAGCCCGGGAGAGCCCGGGGAGAGCCCGGGGAGAGUCUGGAGAGAGCCCGGAGAGAGCCCGGAGAGAGCCCGGGGAGAGUCUGGAGAGAGUCCGGGGAGAGCCCGGAGAGAGCCCGGGGAGAGUCUGGAGAGAGUCCGGGGAGAGCCCGGAGAGAGCCCGGGGAGAGCCCGGGGAGAGCCCGGGAGAGCCCGGGGAGAGUCUGGAGAGAGCCCGGAGAGAGCCCGGGGAGAGCUCGGGGAGAGCCCGGGAGAGCCCGGGGAGAGCUCGGGGAGAGUCUGGAGAGAGCCCGGGAGAGCCCGGGAGAGUCUGGAGAGAGCCCGGGGAGAGCUCGGGGAGAGUCUGGAGAGAGCCCGGAGAGAGCCCGGGAGGGAGAGUCUGGAGAGAGCCCGGGGAGAGCUCGGGGAGAGUCUGGAGAGAGCCCGGAGAGAGCCCGGGAGAGUCUGGAGAGAGCCCGAGGAGAGCCCGGGAGAGCCCGGGGAGAGCCCGGGAGAGCCCGGGGAGAGCCCGGGGAGAGCCCGGGAGAGCCCGGGGAGAGCCCGGGAGAGCCCGGAGAGAGUCCGGGGAGAGCCUGGAGAGAGCCCGGGGAGAGCCNCCGGGGAGAGCCCGGGAGAGCCCGGGGAGAGCCCGGGAGAGCCCGGAGAGAGUCCGGGGAGAGCCUGGAGAGAGCCCGGGGAGAGCCCGGGCUGGGCGCGGCAGGGAGGGAGGGCUGCAUCCAUCCCACAUUUAGGGCUCCAUCCAGCCCUUUUCUCCCAAAGCUGGGUCAGGCUCCUGUCUCGGCACAGCUGCACACGGGAGGCAGCGAGAACAAAGCAGAGGUCAGACAGGGCUCUAACCAAAGGGGUAAUUCUGGCUCCAUUAAAAUCCUCGCUCCUGUUCGCAUGGAAGCAGAAGGCUGUGCUACUACUCAUAAAGAGCUGAACCACCCUCAGGCUGACUCACAGCCCUUAACAGAGCUGCCAUGCUGAUUUUACAAAUAUUAGAGCAAUGCCUCAGAUUCAGGGUUUUGUGUGGUUUAACCUAUCAACUUGGGAGCAGACCCAUAGCUCUUUUAUAGAGCUCCCCUUCCCUGUAUUUUAGUUCCUUUCUUGGUGCCAGAAUUGGAGCCAAAGCCACGCUUAACAAAGCAAUAGGCAUGGCCAUUCUUCCCAGGUCUCAUUUACCCUGGUGAGAAGGGAAAAAUUAAUUUAAACCCUAUCAAAAGUGCAAAAGCCAUUUGCCAUUUUGUGCUGCAGAACACAGUGCGAACCAAACACUCCCUUGAACCACCUGCACUUGCCAAGCCCAGCCAAGAGCAUAGGAACUUGCAGAUUGGAAUCCUUUUGUUCAGGCACCAGCAACAGACAAAUGUGAUCUAAGAUAUUUCUCAAACGUGAUCCAAGAUAUUUCUCAGGCAGCAGCACUGGGGAUAUGUUUGGGAUGCAAAAAAGAGCUGUUACCCCAUUCAACACUCCCUUCUUUGAGCCCCUAUUCCUGGAUAUAUGAUGUAUAAUAAAACUCUUCAUGUCCCAGCA
ensembl:lncRNA